rnacentral:rRNA from 1 species
GACGACGCUGGCGGCGUGCCUAAUACAUGCAAGUAGAACGAGUUGCGAACGGGUGAGUAACGCGUGGUAACCUGCCUCAUAGCGGGGGAUAACUCUUGGAAACGAUAGCUAAUACCGCAUACCAUAAGAUGUGCCCAGAGGGGAUUAGCUAGUAGGUGGGGUAACGGCUCACCUAGGCGACGAUCCCUAGCUGGUCGGAGAGGAUGACCAGCCACACUGGAACGGAGACGCGGUCCAGACUCCUACGGGAGGCAGCGAUGGGGAAUAUUGCACAAUGGGCGCAAGCCUGAUGCAGCCAUGCCGCAUGUAUGAUAGAGGCCUUCGGGUUGUAAAGUACUUUCAGCGGGGAGGCGUUACCCGCAGAAGAAGCACCGGCUAACUCCGUGCCAGCCGCCGCGGUAAUUC